rnacentral:lncRNA from 1 species
ACAUCCGCACACGGGGACCGAGCCCGAUAUGUCACAGUCUUGUUAAAAGAAGAAUCCUCAGAGAUGUGGAGGAGGGACACCCAGAAAUUAUCCAGCUUUAUAGAGACAGGCUGCAUAGCUUGAGGCAAUGUAAGGGCGACCAUUCAAAAUGAACUGGCUUCUAUGAACGAACAAUUAGAGAUGCCUUACUACCACUGGCUGUAAUCGAUGACUUCUAUGAACAAUUAGCAAUGCCUUACUAUCACCAUCUCCUUGACUAGAAGAGCCUCCGGGAACUAGAAGACAAUAAAGGAAUGGCAGACAUUGUCAAGAGAACUGUGUGUGCAAGACUAGGCUUUUGAUGCCCAGGGCUGGUGAGAUGGCUCAGUGGGUAAGAGCACCCGACUGUUCUUCCGAAGGUCCAGAGUUCAAAUCCCAGCAACCACAUGGUGGCUCACAACCAUCCGUAACAAGAUCUGGCUCCCUCUUCUGGUGUGUCUGAAGACAGCUACAGUGUAGUUACAUAUAAUAAUAAAAUAAAUCUUUAAAAAAAAUA